rnacentral:rRNA from 1 species
CCUACGGGAGGCAGCAGUGAGGAAUAUUGGUCAAUGGGCGCGAGCCUGAACCAGCCAAGUCGCGUGAGGGAAGACGGUCCUAUGGAUUGUAAACCUCUUUUGUCGGGGAGCAAAAGACGCCACGCGUGGCGUUCCGAGAGUACCCGAAGAAAACGCAUCGGCUAACUCCGUGCCAGCAGCCGCGGUAAUACGGGGGAUGCGAGCGUUAUCCGGAUUUAGUGGGUGAAAAGGGUGCGCAGGCGGAAUGUCAAGUCAGCGGUAAAAUUGAGAGGCUCAACCUCUUCGAGCCGUUGAAACUGGUUUUCUUGAGUGAGCGAGAAGUAUGCGGAAUGCGUGGUGUAGCGGUGAAAUGCAUAGAUAUCACGCAGAACUCCGAUUGCGAAGGCAGCAUACCGGCGCUCAACUGACGCUCAUGCACGAAAGUGUGGGUAUCGAACAGGAUUAGAUACCCGGGUAGUC